rnacentral:misc_RNA from 1 species
AAGUCGUAACAAGGUAACCGUAGGUGAACCUGCGGUUGGAUCAUUAAAAAACUUCGGCAAGAACGUGGAGCUUGUGUGUGAGACUUGUGUGCUAACUUAGACCACAAGCCCCCUCACGAGCCCUGUUUUUACGAACCCUGUGUGAACCGUAAUAUUUAUUCCAUCCACGUAAUACGAAAUUUCUAGUCUAAAGUCUUCUUCAUAUCACGAGAAUAUGAUAAAAACAACUUUUGGCAACGGAUCUCUUGGCUCUC